rnacentral:rRNA from 1 species
GACGAACGCUGGCGGCGUGCUUAACACAUGCAAGUCGAACGGUGAAGCGCUUGCCUUUUUGGUGGGUGUGGAUGAGUGGCGAACGGGUGAGUAACACGUGAGUAACCUGCCCUCUUCUUCUGGAUAACCUCAUGAAAGUGGGGCUAAUACGGGGUAUUCCGGGUCUGUCGCAUGGCGGGUUUGGGAAAGAUUGCGCCUUUGGGUGUUUUCGGUGGGGGAUGGGCUCGCGGCCUAUCAGCUUGUUGGUGGGGUGAUGGCCUACCAAGGCGGUGACGGGUAGCCGGCCUGAGAGGGUGGACGGCCACACUGGGACUGAGACACGGCCCAGACUCCUGCGGGAGGCAGCAGUGGGGAAUAUUGCACAAUGGGCGCAAGCCUGAUGCAGCGACGCCGCGUGAGGGAUGGAGGCCUUCGGGUUGUGAACCUCUUUCGCCAGUGAAGCAGGCCUGCUCCUGUGUGGGUGGGUUGACGGUAGCUGGAGAAGAAGCGCCGGCUAACUACGUG